GAUCAGAAGAGGACUCUCCUGACCAGCCUGGGAAAAGUCUGAGCAGAGUCUGCAGGGGCAAAUACAACUUACUCAGACAAAAAAGGCUGUCAGCAGCAAGUCUAGGCAGAAGCCAGGAGGAGUUAGGAACAGACUAUAAGAAAUGGUUGGUCUGGAGGAAAAAGGGUAAAACUUAUGAGGGCCCUUGUGAAUUGAUGAAUAUGAAGACACUAAGAAAGCAGAAAUAGAACUGAGAAGAAUGAAAUAACUGUCUCUACCUUUCUCGAAUUGUCUAAUAUGGAAAGAAUGAAAGACAGCUAAUAAGCAACUCUCUGCAAGAAGACAUAUGGCUUAGGUUCUGCUGAGCUAUUGGUGAUUUGAUUCCAUGCAUAUGUAUUCACUACUGAAUCUACUUGGAGAGAGUCAAACACAGAAUCCCUUUGAAUUUAAUGGCCAUUCCAGGUGAUUUGAACAGCCAAAUAAGAAACAGGUCCUCUUCAAUGUACAAUCUGCCAAGUAUGAAGUCUGAAUGACCAUCAUUAUUAUGUAUUUAAUGUGCAUAGAAAAUCUAUCUGCAACCUUCCAGAGUGUACCAGAAGUUUGGAAUGUACAUUAUUAUUGGCUCCAUCUCAAACCACUCAUAAAUCAAAGAAAAUAGCAGUUCCAGAGGAAUCAUCAUAGAGGCUUCUAGGCCCCCAUGCUGUGUGAACCUGGUGAGAAAGGGAAGUCUGCUCUCACUGGACACUGGAACUGUUUGUCUCUGUCUCUGCUGUACUUUCCCUGCCUCUACCUCACUUAGUAAAGAAAUCAUCUUUGCUUGAUAACUAAAACAACCAAUAAGGCUGAGAAAGGGGAAAACCCACAUCUGGAUUUAAAUACAAGGUAUUGGGCCAGCUGCUGGGGAUUAAACUUUGAACAAAACAGAUAGAAUCUAUGUCCUCAUGGGAGUGGCUAAUGGGAGAGUCGGAACAAAAAAAUAGCCAAGGAUAAUCCAGCAAAUGAUUUGGUGAAUGCUAUCAAAGAGAGAAAUACACAUGCUCUGGGAACACCAAGAAUAAACGAGAGAAAGGGACAUUAAUAUAUAUUGAAUAUCUGCUGUGUCAGGCACCUUACAUAUAUUGAUUGCUUCUUCACUUCUUUUAAUCUUUACUACACCACAUGAGGCUGUCAUAGAGAUUCUGAGG
rnacentral:lncRNA from 10 species